rnacentral:rRNA from 1 species
UACCAGCACCCCGAGUGGUCGGGACGAUUAUUGGGCCUAAAGCAUCCGUAGCCGGUUUUACAAGUCCUCCGUUAAAUCCAACUGCUUAACAGGUGGGCCGCGGAGGAUACUAUAAGACUAGGAGGCAGGAGAGGCAAGCGGUACUCAGUGGGUAGGGGUAAAAUCCGUUGAUCCAUUGAGGACCACCAGUGGCGAAGGCGGCUUGCCAGAAUGCGCUCGACGGUGAGGGAUGAAAGCUGGGGGAGCAAACCGG